GGCAGUGUAGCUUAAUGGUAGAGUAUCGGUCUCAUAAACUGAGAAGGCGGUUUGAUUCCGUCCGCUGCCACCA
rnacentral:tRNA from 1 species